GGUAGAAUGGCUGAAACAGCGGUAGAUUGUAAUCCUACAUAUGAGAGAUAUCUCUCUUCUAUCA
rnacentral:tRNA from 1 species